rnacentral:ncRNA from 2 species
GUCUGAGGUAGAGGUUGCGAGGCUUAUUAACGCUGUGGAGUGAAGAGACACGCGGAAGCAGAACUAGGAAGCAUCGCCGAAAUCAGCUGGCAUCUCUUUUGCCUUCUGGUUGGGACAUAAGUAAAGAGCUUAUGGACUGUCUUAGUUUUAGAGACUAAGUUGCGCUAUGUUUUAC